GUUGAACGCUGACAGCAUGCUUAACACAUCAGCAAUUGAUUGGUGGCGGACGGGUGAGUAACGCGUAACGAACUUGCCUCACAGCUCGGGACAACACUUGGAACCGAAUGCUAUUACCUAUUCCUGUGAGAGCGCAUUCCGUCCCACUAGCAAGUUGGGGAGGUAACGGCUCACCAAGGCGAUGAUGGGUAGCCGGCCUGGGAGGGUGAUCGGCAACAAGGUGACGAGGACACGGCCCGUACUGCGACGGGAGGAAGCAGUGGAGAAGAGUGAACAAGGGACCAAAGUCUGAAGCAGCAAUUCGGUGUGGACGAUGAAGUUUUCGGAAGGUAAAGGGCUUAGUGAUGGGAAGCGGUACCAACAGAAGAAGUGACGGCUAAAUACGUGCCAGCAGCCGCGGUAAUAC
rnacentral:rRNA from 1 species